AUAUUGCCCAAUGGGGGAAACCCUGAGGCAGCAACGCCGCGUGGAGGAAGAAGGUCUUUGGAUUGUAAACUCCUUUUCUGGGGGAAGAGCAAGGACGGUACCCCAGGAAUAAGUCACGGCUAACUACGUGCCAGCAGCCGCGGUAAUACGUAGGUGGCGAGCGUUAUCCGGAAUUACUGGGCGUAAAGCGUCCGCAGGCGGCUUGUUAAGUCUGCUGUGAAAGCUCCUGGCUUAACUGGGAGAGGUCAGUGGAAACUGGCAGGCUUGAGGCGAUGAGAGGGGUGUGGAAUUCCCGGUGUAGUGGUGGAAUGCGUAGAGAUCGGGAGGAACACCAGUGGCGAAAGCGGCACCCUGGCAUCGGCCUGACGCUGAGGGACGAAAGCGUGGGGAGCGAACGGG
rnacentral:rRNA from 1 species